UGCGACGGUGAUCAUUUUUACUGACAUUAAAACACGUUGUUAACGUCAACAGCCAAAAAAGUUUCACAGGAUUAUGAAUGUACCUGAAAGUG